AUUGAACGCUGGCGGCAUGCCUAACACAUGCAAGUCGAACGGAGAUAGGGGCAACCUUAUUUCAGUGGCGGACGGGUGAGGAAUGCGUCGGAAUCUGCCCUAUGGUGGGGGAUAACACAGGGAAACUUGUGCUAAUACCGCAUAAUGUCGAGAGACCAAAGCAGGGGACCGCAAGGCCUUGCGCGAUAGGAUGAGCCGACGCCCGAUUAGCUUGUUGGUGGGGUAAAGGCCUACCAAGGCGACGAUCUUUAGCUGGUCUGAGAGGAUGAUCAGCCACACUGGGACUGAGACACGGCCCAGACUCCUACGGGAGGCAGCAGUGGGGAAUAUUGGACAAUGGGCGAAAGCCUGAUCCAGCAAUGCCGCGUGAGUGAUGAAGGCCUUAGGGUUGUAAAGCUCUUUUACCAGGGAUGAUAAUGACAGUACCUGGAGAAUAAGCUCCGGCUAACUCCGUG
rnacentral:rRNA from 1 species